UACGUAGGGUGCAAGCGUUGUCCGGAAUUAUUGGGCGUAAAGAGCUCGUAGGCGGUUUGUCGCGUCGGCUGUGAAAACCCGGGGCUCAACCCCGGGCCUGCAGUCGAUACGGGCAAACUAGAGUGUGGUAGGGGAGACUGGAAUUCCUGGUGUAGCGGUGAAAUGCGCAGACAUCAGGAGGAACACCGGUGGCGAAGGCGGGUCUCUGGGCCAUAACUGACGCUGAGGAGCGAAAGCGUGGGGAGCGAACAGG
rnacentral:rRNA from 1 species